GUCAACUAGUCUGUUGAAUGGACUUUGUCAAGGUGUUAAGACAGGCUCAUCCUAGAAAUAGAGGAAGAAUAGUAUUAGGUGCAGAAGGUUGCAAGGUUCUAUCUAUUUUUUUGAAGACAAGAAACUGGAGACCUAAGUGUGUGACAUGUUUUAAUUCACAACACUGCACUUCUGGUCCAGAAAUACAAUGAAGACAUGCUGAAUGUUGACAGAAGGACCACAAGAUAUGCUGAUGGAUCAGAUGUGUAAUGUGAGUUACCCCAAGGAACUAUGUUCAUGAUAGUUUAAUUCUCUAAGAUAGAAAAUUCUGAACGAGAAACAAGGAAACAACAUUUUGUUGGGGGCUAAUACAGAGUUUUCUUUUGAACAUGGUAACAGGAUGACAAAAAAGGGAUUAACAUCUUUAUGUGGUUUUGAUGUAUUGGAAAUUGAAAAAUACAAAACACAUU